AAACUCAAAGGAAUUGACGGGACCGCACAAGCGGUGGAGUAUGUGGUUAAUUCGACGCAACGCGAAGAACUUACCAGGGCUUGACAUCCCCUGACCGCGUAUGAAAGUACGUUUUCACCCUCGGGUGACAGGGAGACAGGUGGUGCAUGGUUGUCGUCAGCUCGUGUCGUGAGAUGUUGGGUUAAGUCCCGCAACGAGCGCAACCCCUACGUUUAGUUGCUAACGCGUGAAGGCGAGCACUCUAGACGAACUGCCGUUGACAAAACGGAGGAAGGUGGGGAUGACGUCAAAUCAUCAUGCCCCUUAUGUUCUGGGCUACACACGUGCUACAAUGGCCGGUACAGACGGACGCAAAGCCGCGAGGUGGAGCAAAUCCUAAAAAGCCGGUCUCAGUUCGGAUUGCAGGCUGCAAUUCGCCUGCAUGAAGUCGGAAUCGCUAGUAAUCGCAGGUCAGCAUACUGCGGUCGAAUACGUUCCCGGGCCUU
rnacentral:rRNA from 1 species